rnacentral:rRNA from 1 species
UGGGGAAUUUUGGACAAUGGGCGAAAGCCUGAUCCAGCAAUGCCGCGUGUGUGAAGAAGGCCUUCGGGUUGUAAAGCACUUUUGUCCGGAAAGAAAUCCUUGGCUCUAAUACAGUCGGGGGAUGACGGUACCGGAAGAAUAAGCACCGGCUAACUACGUGCCAGCAGCCGCGGUAAUACGUAGGGUGCAAGCGUUAAUCGGAAGUUACUGGGCGUAAAGCGUGCGCAGGCGGUUUGCUAAGACCGAUGUGAAAUCCCCGGGCUCAACCUGGGAACUGCAUUGGUGACUGGCAGGCUAGAGUAUGGCAGAGGGGGGUAGAAUUCCACGUGUAGCAGUGAAAUGCGUAGAGAUGUGGAGGAAUACCGAUGGCGAAGGCAGCCCCCUGGGCCAAUACUGACGCUCAUGCACGAAAGCGUGGGGAGCAAACAGGAUUAGAUACCCUGGUAGUCCACGCCCUAAACGAUGUCAACUAGUUGUUGGGGAUUCAUUUCCUUAGUAACGUAGCUAACGCGUGAAGUUGACCGCCUGGGGAGUACGGUCGCAAGAUUAAAACUCAAAGGAAUUGACGGGGUCAUAGCUGUUUCCU